UACUUAAUUGCCAUCCUUUAUUGCGUGUUGUAAGCAGAUGAGACCUGGGUUCAAACACUAUUCGAAAUCAUUUCAAUUACUUUAUCUGUGCUCGAUCGACCUUUCCUGGCUUUAAGAGACCAAACAAAUAGUCUCGAACCUGCAAUUUGUCACACCCAGGCCAGGCUAGAGCAAACGUCGAACGAUUUCAAAUAGUGUUUGAACCCAGGUGUGUAGCUGUGCAGAGCUCUUUUAUUUUUAGACAUCAACUGUGACAUACCGGUCAGAAAUGUAAUUCAUGUAAUUAAUGAACUGCCCUCUGUCCCAACAGAUGAUUAUUACAGUAACAAUUACUUUUUUCAUUAUAAAUAAUAUCCAAAUUAAAAAUAAGAAAGUUAUGCCCCGAAAUAUGCAGCAAAAAGCAUCUCAAAGAUUUCACGGAGACAUUUAAACGGACAGAAUAGUGUAUUUUUAUUAGAAUCAUUCUAAUCAGCCCCAUUACCUAUUUACAACAACAACAACAAGUUUAUAUGUUGACACUUCCGCGUGCAGUUCUCUUAUUAACUGAACGAUUCGUUGAUUUAGUCUGUCAUCUACACCGAGUGGACAAAACAUUAGGAACACCUGCUCUUUCCAUGACACAGACUGACCAGGUGAAUCCAGGUGAAAGCUGUGAUCCCUUAUUGAUGUCACCUGUUAAGCCCACAUCUAUCAGUGUAGAUGAAGGGGAGGACGGCAGGUGGUUAAAGAAGGAUUUAUAAGCCCUGAGACAUGGAUUGUGUACGUGUGUCGUUCAGAUGGUGAAUGGGAAAAACGUAAGUAUCUUUGAACGAGGUUUCGGAGUCAACAUGGGCCAGCAUCCCUGUGGAACGAGGUACUGAAGUCAACAUGGGCCAGCAUCCCUGUGGAACGAGGUACUGAAGUCAACAUGGGCCAGCAUCCCUGUGGAACGAGGUACUGAAGUCAACAUGGGCCAGCAUCCCUGUGGAACGAGGUACUGAAGUCAACAUGGGCCAGCAUCCCUGUGGAACGAGGUACUGAAGUCAACAUGGGCCAGUAUCCCUGUGGAACGAGGUACUGAAGUCAACAUGGGCCAGCAUCCCUGUGGAACGAGGUACUGAAGUCAACAUGGGCCAGCAUCCCUGUGGAACGAGGUACUGAAGUCAACAUGGGCCAGUAUCCCUGUGGAACGGGGUACUGAAGUCAACAUGGGCCAGUAUCCCUGUGGAACGAGGUUUCGGAGUCAACAUGGGCCAGUAUCCCUGUGGAACGAGGUACUGAAGUCAACAUGGGCCAGCAUCCCUGUGGAACGAGGUACUGAAGUCAACAUGGGCCAGUAUCCCUGUGGAACGGGGUACUGAAGUCAACAUGGGCCAGUAUCCCUGUGGAACGAGGUUUCGGAGUCAACAUGGGCCAGCAUCCCUGUGGAACGAGGUUCUGAAGUCAACAUGGGCCAGCAUCCCUGUGGAACGAGGUACUGAAGUCAACAUGGGCCAGCAUCCCUGUGGAACGAGGUUUCGGAGUCAACAUGGGCCAGCAUCCCUGUGGAACGAGGUUUCGGAGUCAACAUGGGCCAGUAUCCCUGUGGAACGAGGUUUCGGAGUCAACAUGGGCCAGUAUCCCUGUGGAACGAGGUUUCGGAGUCAACAUGGGCCAGCAUCCCUGUGGAACGAGGUUUCGGAGUCAACAUGGGCCAGUACCCCUGUGGAACGAGGUUUCGGAGUCAACAUGGGCCAGUACCCCUGUGGAACGAGGUUUCGGAGUCAACAUGGGCCAGUACCCCUGUGGAACGGGGUUUCGGAGUCAACAUGGGCCAGUACCCCUGUGGAACGCUUUCAACACCUUGUAGAGUUCAUGACCUGACGAAUUGAGCCUGUUCUGAUGGGUAAAGGGGGCCUCAAU